GCGUGGGUUUGGAAGAGGUGAUGAAUGACUGGAAGUUGAAUCGUUAUUAAAGAGACCUUACCAGUGGAAAGAGAAGGAAUGGAGGAAUUAUGUAAAUGGACAGUGUGUCGCCAACAAGACUACAUCAGGCUUAGGAUCUGUUUUGAUGUGGACAAUAAGGAGGCACAAUUUGUCUCUCUCUCUCUCUCUCUCUCUAGUAUGAAGGUGUGGCUAUUUGAAGGCAUGCAGAUCUGGCUCUCAGGCCUCAACUGUUCCCAAACCACAACUACAAGUCUUUGUUUGAGCAUCAUAUUCCCACCAGCUAUAAUGUGAACAAAGCAGCGAUUCAAUUCUUUUUUUAAAUCGGAUCUACAAGAAAAACAACAACAUCUAAUGUUGUGGAGGGAACUACUCGUUCUCUGAUAACUCUGGUUUCACUUAAAGUCUGAUUCUUCUGGCUUAGAAGACUUCCACCGCUUGCAGGCUUAAACAGUCAUUGUCCUUUUCCGCGGCUAGCGUUCUUAGAAUAAUAUGGAGAGAAAAAACCACAGUGUACCAAGUAACAAUAUCAGUGCAUUAACUUACGCUAAGGCCAGAGCUGCAGAUGUCUCUGUGUAUUUUCCACAGCUGUAAACACUCCCAAAGUGAUGGAGAGAGAACGGAAUUUGCAAAGAUGUGCAAAAGUUGUCACAUGGGCAUUUUAUUGAAAACCUUCAAGCCUAUACUCUCCCUGGUGCAGAUGACCUCACAUUCAUUUCCUGAUUUUUCUUUUCUCUUCUCCCAUGAAGCAUUUCUUUACAGAGGAUGAAACUGGCCUUUUUUCUUUGCUUAGUUUUUUUCCAUCUGCACACGUGCAUUUUCGCAACAAAAAAACCCCACAGUUGUUUAACCGAUUUUCCUCAAUAAAGUACACAUUUUGCGCUUA